AGCAGCCGCGGUAAUUCCAGCUCCAAUAGCGUAUAUUAAAGUUGUUGCAGUUAAAAAGCUCGUAGUUGAAUUUCGGGGUUAGUAGGUUGGUCAUGCCUCUGGUAUGUACUGGUCUCACUGAUUCCUCCUUCCUGAUGAACCGUAAUGCCAUUAAUUUGGUGUUGUGGGGAAUUUGGACUGUUACUUUGAAAAAAUUAGAGUGUUUAAAGCAAGCUAACGCUUGAAUACAUUAGCAUGGAAUAAUGAAAUAGGACGUUCGAUCCUAUUUUGUUGGUUUCUAGGAUUGACGUAAUGAUUAAUAGGGAUAGUUGGGGGCAUUAGUAUUCAAUUGUCAGAGGUGAAAUUCUUGGAUUUAUUGAAGACUAACUACUGCGAAAGCAUUUGCCAAGGAUGUUUUCAUUAAUCAAGAACGAAAGUUAGGGGAUCGAAGACGGAUCAGAUACCGUCGUAGUCUUAACCAUAAACUAUGCCGACUAGGGAUCGGAUGAUGUUAAUUUUUAGUGACUCAUUCGGCGCCUUA
rnacentral:rRNA from 1 species